ensembl:misc_RNA
CAGCUUUGGUUGCUUUCAAAAUCUCUCUUAGUUCUUGGACAACAGUAUUAGCAAAGUGUAACAAAAUUAUCAAAGCAUGGAGACGUGCUGGUUUAACUUUUGUACAAUAGCAUCUUUACCCGAGGCUGAAUGUUGAGAGCACCAAGAAAACUUUGCUUGUCUGAAGGAAUG